UCAACCAUUAGGCUGUGCAUGAUAGCACAUGCCUGUAAUGCCAGCACUUGGGAGGCCGAGGCAGGAGGAU
rnacentral:miRNA from 1 species